UACGGGGGGGGCAAGCGUUGUUCGGAAUUACUGGGCGUAAAGGGCGCGUAGGCGGACAGUUUAGUCAGAGGUGAAAGCCCAGGGCUCAACCUUGGAAUUGCCUUUGAUACUGGCUGUCUUGAGUACGGGAGAGGUGAGUGGAACUCCGAGUGUAGAGGUGAAAUUCGUAGAUAUUCGGAAGAACACCAGUGGCGAAGGCGACUCACUGGCCCGUUACUGACGCUGAGGCGCGAAAGCGUGGGGAGCAAACAGG
rnacentral:rRNA from 1 species